rnacentral:rRNA from 1 species
CAGUAGCCACGGUAAUACGGAGGGUGCAAGCGUUAAUCGGAAUUACUGGGCGUAAAGCGCACGCAGGCGGUUUGUUAAGUCAGAUGUGAAAUCCCCGAGCUUAACUUGGGAACUGCAUUUGAAACUGGCAAGCUAGAGUCUUGUAGAGGGGGGUAGAAUUCCAGGUGUAGCGGUGAAAUGCGUAGAGAUCUGGAGGAAUACCGGUGGCGAAGGCGGCCCCCUGGACAAAGACUGACGCUCAGGUGCGAAAGUGUGGGGAGCAAACAGGAUUAGAUACCCCUGUAGUCCCUGUCUCUUAUAA